rnacentral:tRNA from 2 species
GCGGCGUUAGCUCAGUGGUAGAGCGGCGCUUUUACACAGCGUUGGUCGGGGGUUCGAAUCCCUCACGCCGCA